UUGCUGUAGAUUGAUUCAUUUGAGGUGACUGAGUGGCGGACGGGUGAGUAACGCGUGGGUAACCUGCCUCAUAGAGGGGGACAACAGUUGGAAACGACUUCUAAUACCGCAUAGUAAGAAGAAUUCGCAUGUUUCUUCUUGAAAGAUUUAUCGCUAUGAGAUGGACCCGCGUCUGAUUAGUUAGUUGGUAAGGUAACGGCUUACCAAGGCGACGAUCAGUAGCCGGCUUGAGAGAGUGAACGGCCACAUUGGGACUGAGACACGGCCCAAACUCC
rnacentral:rRNA from 1 species